rnacentral:rRNA from 1 species
AGAGUUUGAUCCUGGCUCAGGAUGAACGCUGGCGGUAUGCUUAAUACAUGCAAGUCGUACGAGAGUUUAUAACUCUAGUGGCGGACGGGUGAGUAACACGUGAGAAUCUGCCCUUAGAAGGAGGAUAACAGCUGGAAACGGUUGCUAAUACUCCAUAUGCCGAGAGGUGAAAGGAAGUAUCUGCCUAAGGAGGAGCUCGCGUCUGAUUAGCUAGUUGGUAGGGUAAUGGCCUACCAAGGCGACGAUCAGUAGCUGGUUUGAGAGGAUGAUCAGCCACACUGGGACUGAGACACGGCCCAGACUCCUACGGGAGGCAGCAGUAGGGAAUUUUCCGCAAUGGGCGAAAGCCUGACGGAGCAAUACCGCGUGAGGGAUGACGGCCUGUGGGUUGUAAACCUCUUUUCUCAAGGAAGAAGUUCUGACGGUACUUGAGGAAUAAGCAUCGGCUAACUCUGUGCCAGCAGCCGCGGUAAUACAGAGGAUGCAAGCGUUAUCCGGAAUCACUGGGCAUAAAGCGUCUGUAGGCUGUUUAAUAAGUCUGCUGUUAAAGACUGGGGCUCAACCCCAGAAAAGCAGUGGAAACUGUUAGACUUGAGUGUGGUAGAGGUAGAGGGAAUUCCUAGUGUAGCGGUGAAAUGCGUAGAUAUUAGGAAGAACACCAAUGGCGAAGGCACUCUACUGGGCCAUAACUGGCACUGAGAGACGACAGCUAGGGGAGCAAAUGGGAUUAGAUACCCCAGUAGUCCUAGCCGUAAACGAUGGAUACUAGAUGUUGCACGUAUUAACCCGUGCAGUAUCGUAGCUAAGGCGUUAAGUAUCCCGCCUGGGAAGUACGCUCGCAAGAGUGAAACUCAAAGGAAUUGACGG